rnacentral:rRNA from 1 species
CAGCCGCCGCGGGAAUACGGAGGGAGCUAGCGUUGUUCGGAAUUACUGGGCGUAAAGCGCGCGUAAGCGGUUACUCAAGUCAGAGGUGAAAGCCCGGGGCUCAACCCCGGAACUGCCUUUGAAACUAGGUGACUAGAAUCUUGGAGAGGUCAGUGGAAUUCCGAGUGUAGAGGUGAAAUUCGUAGAUAUUCGGAAGAACACCAGUGGCGAAGGCGACUGACUGGACAAGUAUUGACGCUGAGGCACGAAAGCGUGGGGAGCAAGCAGGAUUAGAUACCCCCGUAGUCCCUGUCUCUUAUAC